UAGAGUAAUGCGUGACCAACCUGCCCCAUGCUCCAGAAUAGCUCUUGGAAACGGGUGGUAAUGCUGGAUGCUCCAACUUGACGCAUGUCUUGUUGGGAAAGUGUUUAGUGGCAUGGGAUGGGGGUCGCGUCCUAUCAGCUUGUAGGCGGGGUAAUGGCCCACCUAGGCUUCGACGGGUAGCCGGCCUGAGAGGGCGGACGGCCACAUUGGGACUGAGAUACGGCCCAGACUCCUACGGGAGGCAGCAGCC
rnacentral:rRNA from 1 species